UACGUAGGGGGCAAGCGUUGUCCGGAAUCAUUGGGCGUAAAGAGCGUGUAGGCGGCCCGAUAAGUCCGCUGUGAAAGUCCAGGGCUCAACCCUGGAAUGCCGGUGGAUACUGUCGGGCUCGAAUCCGGAAGAGGUGAGUGGAAUUCCUGGUGUAGCGGUGAAAUGCGCAGAUAUCAGGAGGAACACCAAUUGCGAAGGCAGCUCGCUGGGACGUUACUGACGCUGAGACGCGAAAGCGUGGGGAGCAAACAGG
rnacentral:rRNA from 1 species